rnacentral:rRNA from 1 species
GACGAACGCUGGCGGCAAGCUUAACACAUGCAAGUCGAACGCCGUAGCAAUACGGAGUGGCAGACGGGUGAGUAACGCGUGGGAACGUGCCUUUCGGUUCGGAACAACUGAGGGAAACUUCAGCUAAAACCGGAUACGCCCUUCGGGGGAAAGUUUACGCCGAAAGAUCGGCCCGCGUUAGAUUAGCUAGUUGGUGGGGUAAUGGCCUACCAAGGCGACGAUCUAUAGCUGUUCUGAGAGGAAGAUCAGCCACACUGGGACUGAGACACGGCCCAGACUCCUACGGGAGGCAGCAGUGGGGAAUAUUGGACAAUGGGCGCAAGCCUGAUCCAGCUAUGCCGCGUGGAUGAAGAAGGCCUUAGGGUCGUAAAGCUCUUUCGUCCGGGACGAUAAUGACGGUACCGGAAGAAGAAGCCCCGGCUAACUUCGUGCCAGCCGCCGCGGUAAAAC